rnacentral:RNase_P_RNA from 1 species
UCGGCAGGUCGGUUGGUCGCGUCGCAUUGCGGCGAGGAAAGUCCGGGCUCCGCAGGGCAGGGUGCCUGAUAACGUCAGGCGAGGGCAACCUUAGGGAAAGUGCAGCAGAAAGGAAACCGCCUCCUUCGGGAGGCAAGGGUGAAAGGGCGAGGUAAGAGCUCACCGGCCGCCGGGAAACCGACGGGCUAUGAAAACCCCAUCCGGAGCAAGACUAAGAAAGGGCAUAAAACCGGCGGCCCGCCGGGCCCAUGGUAAGUCGCUUAAUGACGCCGGCGACGGCGUUUCAGACAGAUGACCAUUAAAACAGAACCCGGCUUAUGAACCUGCAGACGCU